rnacentral:lncRNA from 1 species
UAUAGAACUUAAUAAAUAGCACAACAAUAUACUAAAAUUUGAAAUUCAAUUAUACAUCCUUUGUGCAAAAUUAGAAAUUAUGACGCUCGCAAAAUUUUUAAUAACAUUACUACAAUAAAUUUUUAAAUAUAUUUUACAAGGAUAAUUUUUCAAAAUCAUAAAAGAAUUCUUCCAAGUCUUCCUUUAACUUUGAACUUGCUCUUGGUUUUCCUGCUCUGGAAUUGAAAAAAAAAUGAGUGAGGCACCACUUGCUCAUUAAGAAUAUUUUAAUACUUCAAUCCAAAUAUCAUAGAUAAUAUACAGAUUCGAACUAUUACCUUCACCUUAAAUUUACCACGCCCUUCAUAAUCAUCUGAUUUCUACACCCAACUAUUACUACAUCGAUCUUAUUAAUUACAUGUAUUCACUUUUCAUAUACCUCAUUUCAUUCAAAUGAUAUCUACAAUUUCUUAAUCUCAAUAGCAUAACGUCAUAUUCACAUCGAUUGCACAUAUUCACAUAUCUUUCAUUCUUAUAUAUUUUUUAAAUCAUUCAAAAAGUAUCCACAAUUACCUAACUACAUUCUCAUAAAUUACUCUUGGUUUAUUCUCAAUCUCAUAAAUGCAAUAUCGUAUUCAUGUUAAUUACUCAUAUUCAUACAUAGAGUACCAUUCCUUAAUCAUAUUUCACAUAACAAUAAAUUCUCAUCAUUCGCCAAACACAACAAAUACACAUGCAUAAAUUGUAUUAUUUCAUAUGAUAAUAUUUAGUCACAAUGAUUAAGAAAAUGAUACUAACACUAUCAAUAUGGACCUAGUCAUAGUAACAUAUUCACAUGUCAUAGUUAUAGUCAUAAUCACAAUCAUAGUUACAAUUCAUAUUAUCCCCUAGAGAUACAAAUUAUAAUUACAGUUAUAGUUAGAAGUAACAAAUGGUCCAUAAGAUAGAGUUCACAAUCAUUUUUAACCAAUUAUAGACUGCACGUAUAUUCACAUCUCAAUGAUAAGGGAAUCUUUAUUGUUAAUCUCAAGUAUUCUCGAUCAUAAUUUAUUUCAUAUAGUACCUUGAAAUUCCUACUUAAUUCAUCCUUAUUCAACUCUUGGGCAAGUCCUAAUUCCAUAUUUAUUCAUGCAUAAACGUUUUUACACAUGAAUGAUUUAAAUUCUCCAAAAAUUCAUAGUCACCCAACAAUUUAUAUAUUUUUCUCAUAAUACAUCAAUCGCAACUCUUCUAUAAUUUCGUAAAAGCUUAUUUACUCCAUUAAUUAUUGCACCAAAUCACAUAUCUAAUAUUUAUUUAAGGUAUUAUAUUCAUUAAUAGUGCUACUUUUUAUAUAAUUUACAAUUUCAAAGUUGUAAU